UACGUAGGGUGCGAGCGUUAAUCGGAAUUACUGGGCGUAAAGCGUGCGCAGGCGGUUGUGCAAGACCGAUGUGAAAUCCCCGGGCUUAACCUGGGAACUGCAUUGGUGACUGCACGGCUAGAGUGUGUCAGAGGGGGGUAGAAUUCCACGUGUAGCAGUGAAAUGCGUAGAGAUGUGGAGGAAUACCGAUGGCGAAGGCAGCCCCCUGGGAUAACACUGACGCUCAUGCACGAAAGCGUGGGGAGCAAAACAGG
rnacentral:rRNA from 1 species